rnacentral:rRNA from 1 species
UACGUAGGGUGCGAGCGUUAAUCGGAAUUACUGGGCGUAAAGAGUGUGUAGGCGGUGCUCUAAGUUCGGUGUGAAAUCUCCCGGCUUAACUGGGAGGGUGCGCCGGAAACUGGAGUGCUUGAGCGCGGGAGAGGAAAGCGGAAUUCCUGGUGUAGCGGUGAAAUGCGUAGAUAUCAGGAGGAACACCUGUGGUGUAGACGGCUUUCUGGACCGUAGCUGACGCUGAGACACGAAAGCGUGGGUAGCAAACAGG